GACGAACGCUGGCGGUGUGCUUAACACAUGCAAGUCGAACGGUAAGGCCCUUUCGGGGGUACACGAGUGGCGAACGGGUGGGUAACACGUGAGUAACCUGCCCUCAUCUCUGGGAUAACAGUCGGAAACGGUUGCUAAUACUGGAUAUGAGCUUGCAAGGCAUCUUGUGGGUUGGAAAGAUUUUUUUUGGUUGGGGAUGGACUCGCGGCCUAUCAGCUUGUUGGUGAGGUAGUGGCUCACCAAGGCUUCGACGGGUAGCCGGCCUGAGAGGGCGACCGGCCACAUUGGGACUGAGAUACGGCCCAUACUCCUACGGGAGGCAGCAGUGGGGAAUAUUGCACAAUGGACGGAAGUCUGAUGCAGCAACGCCGCGUGCGGGAUGACGGCCUUCGGGUUGUAAACCGCUUUCAAUUGUGACGAAGCUUUUUUGUGACGGUAGCAGUAGAAGAAGCACCGGCUAACUACGUG
rnacentral:rRNA from 1 species